rnacentral:rRNA from 1 species
AUUGAUUGUUUUUUUUUAAAAAUUAAAAAUUGAUUUAAAAAUGAAAAAGUUUUUAUAAAAUAGUGGGACAAGAAGACCCUAUGAAUUUUUAUUAUUUUAUAUGAAUGUUUUUUAUAAAAUAAUUUAAUUGGGGCGAUUAAAAAAGAAUACUUAUCUUUAUUUAGAAUUUAUUUUUUAAAUUUAUGAAAAAAUACUCUAGGGAUAACAGCAUAAUUAUUUUGGAUAGUUCAUAUAGAUAAAAUAGUUUAUGACCUCGAUGUUGAAUUAAAGAACCUAUUAGAUGAAGUUAUUUAAUAAGGUAGAUUGUUCCUCUAUUAAAUCAUUACUUGAUCUGAGUUCAGACCGGAC